rnacentral:tRNA from 1 species
AGCUCUGUAGUGAAGUUCAUAUUAGAUUGCAAAUCUGAAGACGCAGAUUAAACGUCUGCCGGGGCUU